CAACGCCAUCCGAAAAAGAGAUUUACCUCAAACGAAGUUCGCAGAUAACCUUGGGAACAGAAAAGAAAUCUUUUACUUUCAACCUCCCGAGUUUUCUGAUUGGUUUUAUUAUCCCACUGUUGUUCCUCGGAAUCACUGGAUGGAUCAUACGUAAACAGAAGCUCAAGAUAGAGGAAAUGGAACAAAACGAAGCCAUAAAAAUUCGUAACUACGAAACCAUAUCGGAUCAAGGAGCAACAACGUCCAACCAUCAAACUGCCGAAACGGCAUACGAAAAUGUAUUAGAAGAAAAUGCUGGUUACGAACAACCACUUCCUUCAACAAGAGUUCGAGCCAACAAUGAAACCCUCUACGAAAAUUAUUGAGGCUUGAUUGAGGUUUAUUACAUCAACUCACGGCCAAUCUUUAACAUAGGGUCGAUCGAUAUGGUUCCACUUAUGAUCGUCGAUUAUUUUCAUCAUUGAAUUAUUUUUAAUUUUAUUGCCGGACUGGCAGUGACUAAGAAGAUGCUAUAUAUUAAUAAAGUUUGAUAACCACUGGUUAAACUUACGG